AAAGUAUAGUGUAUAUAUAUGGGAUAAAGUAUACUCGUUGGUUUUUUUAGGUUUUCUUUUACAUGUACGCGCGUCGAGAUGUUACCGGCAGUUGUUUUUCUCCUAUGUACAGUAAGGGUUUCUGUUCUGGAGGCAGACCGAAAUAAAAACAACAACAGAAACAACAAGAAUACGAAAACAAAUUAUUUAUUCUUUUUCACCAUGCAAACGUUAUAUUAAUUUGCUUACGGGAUAUGUACGCAAGAAGGGAAAGCUAACUAUCCGUACACAUUCAAAGAAAACAGUGUUAAGAGCUACGUCUAUGUGUGUUUAUAACUGCAUAAAAGAGAAAAUCCUUUGAUGUAAAGUAAAUGUAAAUUUUCUUUCUAUGGUUAUGUAAAAGAAAAAAGAAAAAAAAAAAAAAACGUGAAAAACACAAAAAACAUGAAAACAAUAUGUAUACAGGCAGACACAACUCAAUGUAAUAUAGCAGACAGACAAACACACUUGACGCAGUAAACAAAAGAUGGAUGCGAGAAAAACAAAACGAAAAAAGUAACAAACGCAACGAGAGACAAACAAAUAUCGAGUAAAAAUAGCAGAAAAACGUAAUGUAAGCACUUGAAUGAAAAACGAAAGAAAAAGAUACAAAAAA